GGCAGUAAACACUUGCUGAAACCUUUUACCAACUGGCUGUGUCCCAAACCAAAAUGAGAAAUGAAUUGCUGAGACAUUAAGGGCUCGCAAGUCCCAGGGGCCACCCAUGAGUUCCACGUAUCCUUGUGCUGAAGUCUGGUACUGGUCUGUGCGAGGAGCACAGCGUCUACACAGCCUGCAUUUCCUGGCUCUUGGCCUCCUCCCUCCAUCUUCAAAGCUUGCAAUGUUGGGAAUCUGAAAGACAAACUAAAGACCAUAAAUGAUUAGCAUGAGAAUCCGCCCUGUCCGUGGUGGUUUUGGAGGGCAAUAAGUGGAAAGCGGGUGAGAAAUAGCCCAGAGUCUUUCUCCCUCUUGGAGACUGUGCCACCUCCUGAGUGCUUCCAAACACCCCAGGAAACCACCGCAUCAUUGUGAAAAGACUAAUCGCCACACACCACUUGAUUUUCCUUCCUGGACGUCACGGGCCAGAACCCUGUGGUUCCCACGUUGUUCCUGUCCUUGUUCCUGUCGUUGUUCCCCAAGAGUUUAACUUUCAUCCUGGACCUGGGUGGGACAGCCUGUCUCAACUUGAGCCCUUAUGUAAGUGGCUGUGGGGAGAGCUGGCA